rnacentral:rRNA from 1 species
GACAGAGGGUGCAAACGUUGUUCGGAGUUACUGGGCGUAAAGCGCGGGCAGGCGGUCUUGCCAGUCUGAUGUGAAAUCUCCUCGCUCAACGGGGAGCAGCCAUUGGAAACUACAAGACUGGAGUCUGGCAGAGGUAGGCGGAAUUCCGGGUGGAGUGGUGAAAUGCGUAGAGAUCCGGAGGAACACCAGAGGCGAAGGCGGCCUACUGGGCCAGUACUGACGCUGAGCCGCGAAAGCCAGGGGAGCGGAACGGG